UACAGAGGGUGCAAGCGUUAAUCGGAAUUACUGGGCGUAAAGCGCGCGAGGUGGUUUGUUAAGUUUGGAUGUGAAAGCCCCGGGCUCAACCUGGGAACUGCAUCCAAAACUGGCAAGCUAGAGUACGGUAGAGGGUGGUGGAAUUUCCUGUGUAGCGGUGAAAUGCGUAGAUAUAGGAAGGAACACCAGUGGCGAAGGCGACCACCUGGACUGAUACUGACACUGAGGUGCGAAAGCGUGGGGAGCAAACAGGAUUAGAUACCCCCGUAGUCC
rnacentral:rRNA from 1 species